UACGUAGGGCGCAAGCGUUAUCCGGAAUUACUGGGCGUAAAGGGCGCGUAGGCGGACAUCUAAGUCAGGGGUGAAAUCCCAGGGCUCAACCCUGGAAUUGCCUUUGAUACUGGACGUCUCGAGUUCGGGAGAGGUGAGUGGAAUUCCGAGUGUAGAGGUGAAAUUCGUAGAUAUUCGGAGGAACACCAGAAGCGAAGGCGGCUCACUGGCCCGAUACUGACGCUGAGGCGCGAAAGCGUGGGGAGCAAACAGG
rnacentral:rRNA from 1 species